rnacentral:lncRNA from 1 species
AGAGAAGCGUUUCGGAGGGCGGGACUGAAUGGGUGUUAAUCUUAGAACCGGGUUUCUGGUUGAUACUACUUUGGUAAAGAUCUUCCCCUAAUUUUUAAAAAGACGCUUCCUCUCUAAAAGUGAGGGCGAAUCCUUUGUUAAGAACGUGCCCCUUGAGAAGCCGUGGGCUCUUCAGCGACUAAGACGAGACAUUCACUAGAAAAGAUUUCACUAAACCCACGAGGGAUAGACUAGACCUCCAGUGAAGAUUGGGCCUGUGCGGGUGACAUUUGUCCCUAUACCCCGAAGACCUCGAGCUAGCUCUCCAGUGAAGACUGGGGCCGUGCGAGUGACAGUGGUCCCUAUACCCCGAAAAAAAAAAAGUCCUAUUUGUGGAAAAAAAAAAAGACUUCGGGUGUUCUGCUGCAUCGGUGGCUGGCUUCCAUCUUUAGUUCUACUCACUCCUGUUGCUUCGCGUGCUCCACCUUCGCUUAGCUCAGGCCUCCUGUGAAUCAGUUUUGAGGCUAAAAGAAGUUCCAAGAAGGAGGGGCUGUAGCCCUUUAAGGACUUCCCCGCGACCGAGUCAGAGAUCAGUUUAAAAAUGCCAACUCACAGAGCGCGCUGCAUUCUGGGAAGCUGAGUGUCACCGUAAGAACUUCAUUGACCGGAAUGCACUGCAAAAAUACACGCCUAUAC